GUCGAGAGGUUAGCGCACAUGGCUCUUGCACCGAUGGUCCCGGGUUCGAAUCCC
rnacentral:tRNA from 16 species